GUGGGGAAUCUUGCGCAAUGGACGAAAGUCUGACGCAGCGACGCCGCGUGGGUGAUGAAGGCCUUCGGGUUGUAAAGCCCUGUGGGGAGGGACGAAUGAGCGCCGGCCAAUACCCGGCGUGAUGACGGUACCUCCUUAGCAAGCACCGGCUAACUCUGUGCCAGCAGCCGCGGUAAGACAGAGGGUGCAAACGUUGUUCGGAAUUACUGGGCGUAAAGCGCGUGUAGGCGGCUGCGCAAGUCGGAUGUGAAAGCCCUCGGCUCAACUGGGGAAGUGCACCCGAAACUGCGUGGCUCGAGUCUCGGAGAGGAUCGUGGAAUUCUCGGUGUAGAGGUGAAAUUCGUAGAUAUCGAGAGGAACACCGGUGGCGAAGGCGGCGAUCUGGACGAAGACUGACGCUGAGACGCGAAAGCGUGGGGAGCAAACAGGAUUAGAAACCCUUGUAGUCC
rnacentral:rRNA from 1 species